UACAGAGGAGCCAAGCGUUGUCCGGAUUGACUGGGCGUAAAGCGCACGCAGGCGGAUGCGCGCGUGGGGUGUGAAAUCUGGCCGCUUAACGGCCAGGCGCCAUCCCAUACGGCGCGUCUGGAGCCUUGCAGAGGUCGGUGGAAUUCCGGGUGUAGCGGUGGAAUGCGUAGAGAUCCGGAAGAACACCGGUGGCGAAGGCGGCCUGCUGGGCAGUAGCUGACACUGAGGCGCGACAGCGUGGGGAGCAAACAGG
rnacentral:rRNA from 1 species